ensembl:snoRNA U3 Small nucleolar RNA U3
AAGGCUAUACUUUCAGGGAUCAUUUCUACAGUUCCUUACUAGAGAAGUUUCUCUGAUUAUGUAGAGUACCAAGUAAAUU